UACGUAGGAUCCGAGCGUUGUCCGGAUUUACUGGGUGUAAAGGGUGCGCAGGCGGACUGGUAAGUCAGUGGUGAAAUCUCGUCGCUUAACGACGAAACUGCCUUUGAUACUAUCAGUCUUGAAUCCGGUAGAGAUCUGUGGAAUUCCGAGUGUAGCAGUGAAAUGUGUAGAUAUUCGGAAAAACACCAGUGGCGAAGGCAGCAGAUUGGGCCGGUAUUGACGCUCAGGCACGAAAGCAUGGGGAUCAAACAGG
rnacentral:rRNA from 1 species